rnacentral:rRNA from 1 species
UACGGGGGGGGCAAGCGUUGUUCGGAAUUACCGGGCGUAAAGGGCUCGUAGGUGGCCAACUAAGUCAGACGUGAAAUCCCUCGGCUUAACCGGGGAACUGCGUCUGAUACUGGAUGGCUUGAGUUUGGGAGAGGGACGCGGAAUUCCAGGUGUAGCGGUGAAAUGCGUAGAUAUCUGGAGGAACACCGGUGGCGAAGGCGGCGUCCUGGACCAACACUGACACUGAUGAGCGAAAGCCAGGGGAGCAAACGGG